GAAAUUGAUUCAAGAGAUGAGAAAUCUUAUUUUGCAAACGGAGUGACGCUGAUUUGAGUACAGCCUGGGUGCAACCAGUGCGUGCGAGGUGACCUCCCAGCAGCAGGGCUGAAAUACAACAUUUUCCCUGCUGAAGACUUUUUCCCGCCCCAUUAUUGUUUAUGCACCCAGAAUUCGUGCAUUGUGAAAAGGAUUCAAAUCCUCUUCUAGUGAUGCACACCACUUAGCGAGAGAACCUAACGAUAAAUCAAAAGGUGGAGGCAAACGGAGAAUCCGAGCCAGGCGAGGCCAGGAGCAAAGACGGACCCACGACUAAGCCUUGUACCUCGAUGCCCCGGAUGGAGGUGGCUCAAGCCUGGCCCCAGCCCUCCCACACCCACAGAGAAAGAGAGAGACACAAAGACUCAAGUAAGAUUGGCGCCAAUCGGAUCCCGGAAGGGCCUGAGCCGUACAUUCUGAAAUAGCUCUUCACAUCAUUCUGGUGUGAUUCCUCAGAAAGACCUGAAUUCCUAAAACUCUUCCUUGGCUUCUCUGCCAGCCUGCCCGCCCCUCCUGCAAUGGCGCUGAAGCCGCAUCCCGAUGCAUAAAAAGGACAGGAAAAGCUUUUGGAGAAUCCAGGAAGACAGCCCUCCUCCAAAUGGUGAGUCAGGAUGGAAUCUAGACGGAUUCAUGGUUUCAGGGUGCUUCACCUACAUCCUUCUUCAGACAGUGCUGUGCUUUCCAGCAAGAGAAGAAGACCAUAGGAGAGGAAAAAGAAGAUGAAGGCCAAUGUACCUGGUGACACUGCAGAUGGGAGCAGAACGCCACCUUAGAAGAGAGAUCACACCUUCAUCAGCAUGCAUGAUUUUUAUCAGGCCCAUGCCCUGGCAUGUUGGAAAGUUCAUAAGCCAAACCCUGAGGUGUAAAGAUAACUUGGACAGUAAAAUAAGUGACAACAAAUAUCAAGUGAUGUCAUUAAUUCAGAGGACGUGAAGGCUUGGAGGUGGGGUGAAAGGUAAAAUUUGUUUUGAACUGGCCUCUCAUAUGUUGUACUACCAGCCAGUUUCUGGUUUUAUAAAAGGAAAUGAGAAUAAUUAGAAAGAGGAAAUAAAAAGUUAAAAACCACAGAACAGUGUCAAAAACAAUUUGACUAAAAAACCAGUAAAAUAGAACAGUCUGUGUUGACUCAUAAUAAAUAUCCAC
rnacentral:lncRNA from 1 species